rnacentral:rRNA from 1 species
AGAACGAACGCUGGCGGCAGGCCUCAAACAUGCAAGUCUAGGGGGUGUAGCAAUACAUCACCGGCGGACGGGUGCGUAACACGUGGGAAUAUACCUUUCGGUACGGAACAACUGCGGGAAACUGCAGCUAAUACCGUAUACGUCCUAGCGGAGAAAGAUUUAUCGCCGAAGGAUUAGCCCGCGUUCGAUUAGCUAGUUGGUGAGGUAAUGGCUCACCAAGGCGACGAUCGAUAGCUGUUCUGAGAGGAAGAUCAGCCACACUGGGACUGAGACACGGCCCAGACUCCUACGGGAGGCAGCAGUUGGAAUCUUGGACAAUGGGGGAAACCCUGAUCCAGCCAUGCCGCGUGAGUGAUGAAGGCCUUCGGGUUGUAAAACUCUUUCGACGGGACGAUAAUGACGGUACCCGUAGAAGAAGCUCCGGCUAACUUCGUGCCAGCAGCCGC